rnacentral:lncRNA from 1 species
GAGACUACUAAGCCUCAGUGAAUUUCUUACUACCCACUACUUGGUGUGCUAACACCGGGGUCCUGAAAAUAGCUGAUCACUGAUAAACAUAUAUUCAUUAAUGAAUAACAUAACAUAAAUAAAGGAUUAAUUAAUUAAAUGGUCCCUUAAAGACAUUUUAGGUUUCACAAUGGUCCCUUAAAGAAAAAAAGGUCUGUUUUAGUCCCUUAAAAACAUAUCUGAUAGCAAAAAGGUCCUUUCCGUCAAUUUUUUGACAGAAAUGUUAGUCUUUGUUAACUGGUUUGUGGAUAUGAUACAGUGUAAGUGGUCCACCAAAGACUUGUUAAUAUUUUAAAAUUUUAACCAUUGAUUUUUUUAUGUUAGAAAGGAAGCCAUUGAAUCUUGUAAGUCUAUUAUAUCUUACGGCGAACCAUCAACACCUAAUUCAUUAGGUUCUUCGUCUCCUUCCUUCUCCUUCUCAAUCUCCAUCAUCUUCAUAAACUCUUUUUUUUNNNNNNNNNNNNNNNNNNNNNNNNNNNNNNNNNNNNNNNNNNNNNNNNNNNNNNNNNNNNNNNNNNNNNNNNNNNNNNNNNNNNNNNNNNAAAAACUAGUUGGUGAUGGUGCAUUGUUAGAUCCGGUGGACAUGCAACAUCUAAUGGUUUCUUUCUUUUCAAAAAGAUUUGAUGGUUAAGAUUAAAAUAUUUAUUGAGGAAUAUGGUGGACCACCUACACCGUUGGUCCACCUAAUACAUUUGGGGUUGAUAAAUUAACGGAAGGGACUAAUUUGACAAACAGUGAUAUCUUUAAGGGACCUAAGCAUAACUUUUAUUCAAUAAGGGACCAAUAUAAAACCAAUAAUUUCUUUAAGGGACCAAAAUACUAAUUAAGCCCAUAAAUAAAGGUGUAGCACACAAUUAUAAUCUUAUUCAUUUUACAGGAAGCUUUCGAGGUGAGUAUGUCUCGAAAGAUCCACUAAGGAUGUUCUCCUAUUAGAAUGUUCUCCACUAAGGAUGUCCUCCACUUAGGAUAUUCUCCUCUACCCGUUGUGACAUAGCUAUGCCACGUUGAUCUUACUCACAUUAAUUUACUUAACGGAUUUUCACUGAUGUACGAAAAACCUGUCAUAGCAUAAAGCUAUACUAAUAAGUGGUUUGGGAAUUAACCACUAUUGAUCAACUAUUCUAUUUAACUAACUUAACAUAAUAACCCAUUCCCGGGGGAGCUUACGUGCAUAGUUCUAGUUUUGAUUUCUACUUAUACUCAUAUUUUAGAGCAUGUACGUUUCGGUUCCAUCCAAGAUGAUCAGGUACUUCGUAUUUUAAAACUGUUUUAGUGUUUCUGGGCAGUUAGGGACUAUUCCGAGUUUUUCGUGCAUCGAUUCAAAAGUACUAAAAAUAUCUUGAUUUUCCCGGAGACCUUGUACCGACUCAAGCCAUGCUUGCACCGGUUCAACUUACCCAGAAUUUUCCAAUCUGCACUCUGUGACCUCUUGCACCGGUUCAUCAUAAUAAUGCACCGGCUCAACAUGCCCAGACUGCCCAUUGUACUCAUUUCUGGUUGAACAGGCUCAACCAGAUCUUGCACCGAUGCAAGAUCGUGAAAAAGUGUGGAAAACUUGUAGAAUCAUACUCCAAACAGUCCCUAGUUGUCUCUAACCAUUUCUAACACCCUAAUCAUCAUAGAUACAACCAACACAGUAACAUACAAUGGGGAAUUUAGUUCAAUUUCAUUAUUAAUCCAUUUAUGAGUUGUCUAAAUUACUAAUCAUGUUAUAAACAUACAUAAUGAAAUCAAAACCCUAUGCUUUGGACUUAUGGUUGCCAUGUCUCUACUUAAAGAAACCCACCUGAAAUUGAAGUUGAACCGCACUAUCAACAUCUUCAGAGCUCACCAAAAUGCAGGUUUUGCAAUAUAAGGUACUUCAAAUCCGUAUAGAGAAUUUUUUGCAUAAAAUCCAUAUCAGACCCUCAACUUCAAAAGCCUUAUGAGACUUCAAUAUUUAUCCAAAAAUUACAAAUUUGGUACCCAAUCGAAGGGAAUUUCGUCAGCUUUCCAUAGAAACAAGAAUCACUCAAUUCGGAUUUAC